rnacentral:rRNA from 1 species
UACAGAGGGUGCGAGCGUUAAUCGGAAUUACUGGGCGUAAAGGGUGCGUAGGCGGUUAAUUAAGUGAGAUGUGAAAUCCCCGGGCUUAACCUGGGAACUGCAUCUCAAACUGAAUGACUAGAGUACAGUAGAGGGUAGUGGAAUUUCCGGUGUAGCGGUGAAAUGCGUAGAUAUCGGAAGGAACACCAGUGGCGAAGGCGGCUACCUGGACUGAUACUGACGCUGAGGCACGAGAGCGUGGGGAGCAAACAGG